rnacentral:rRNA from 3 species
GGGUUGUGAGGUUAAGCGACUAAGCGUACACGGUGGAUGCCCUGGCAGUCAGAGGCGAUGAAGGACGUGCUAAUCUGCGAUAAGCGCCGGUAAGGUGAUAUGAACCGUUAUAACCGACGAUUUCCGAAUGGGGAAACCCAGUGUGACUCGUCACACUAUCAUUAACUGAAUCCAUAGGUUAAUGAGGCGAACCGGGGGAACUGAAACAUCUAAGUACCCCGAGGAAAAGAAAUCAACCGAGAUUCCCCCAGUAGCGGCGAGCGAACGGGGAGGAGCCCAGAGCCUGAAUCAGCAUGUGUGUUAGUGGAAGCGUCUGGAAAGGCGCGCGAUACAGGGUGACAGCCCCGUACACAAAAGCGCAUGUGCUGUGAGCUCGAUGAGUAGGGCGGGACACGUGGUAUCCUGUCUGAAUAUGGGGGGACCAUCCUCCAAGGCUAAAUACUCCUGACUGACCGAUAGUGAACCAGUACCGUGAGGGAAAGGCGAAAAGAACCCCGGCGAGGGGAGUGAAAAAGAACCUGAAACCGUGUACGUACAAGCAGUGGGAGCACCUUCGGGUGUGACUGCGUACCUUUUGUAUAAUGGGUCAGCGACUUAUAUUCUGUAGCAAGGUUAACCGAAUAGGGGAGCCGUAGGGAAACCGAGUCUUAACCGGGCGUUAAGUUGCAGGGUAUAGACCCGAAACCCGGUGAUCUAGCCAUGGGCAGGUUGAAGGUUGGGUAACACUAACUGGAGGACCGAACCGACUAAUGUUGAAAAAUUAGCGGAUGACCUGUGGCUGGGGGUGAAAGGCCAAUCAAACCGGGAGAUAGCUGGUUCUCCCCGAAAGCUAUUUAGGUAGCGCCUCGUGAAUUCAUCUCCGGGGGUAGAGCACUGUUUCGGCUAGGGGGCCAUCCCGGCUUACCAACCCGAUGCAAACUGCGAAUACCGGAGAAUGUUAUCACGGGAGACACACGGCGGGUGCUAACGUCCGUCGUGAAGAGGGAAACAACCCAGACCGCCAGCUAAGGUCCCAAAGUCAUGGUUAAGUGGGAAACGAUGUGGGAAGGC